AUAAAUAAUUAGAAAAGUAAUUAUUAUUUUUAAAUAAUAGACGAUAAUUAUUAAAUUAAUAACUAUAAUAAGAAAAAGAAAUUAAUAACUAUUGAAAAAAUGAAAUUAAUAAUAUUUAAUAACAAUAAUAUAAAAAAAAAACAAAAAUUUUUUUCUAUUUUAAUGUCAGGGAAAUUGAAAAAAUUAUUCUUGUUAAUAUGAAAUAUUAGAUAGUAUUUAUUAUUAUUGUUAUUUUCAUGUGCUUGUUAUUUACUCAUUUGUUAAAAUGAGUUAAAAAAAAAAAAAAAAAAUUGUGCGCAUAAUAAUUUUGUAAUUAAAAAUUAGGAAUACGUAACAAAUAAGUUUUUAGAAAUUUUAUUAAGGCGUAAAAAUAUUUGCAAAUAAAAUUUGUAAUUGAAAUUUGCAAUUGAAAUUUGUAACUGAAAUUUGCAACUAAAAAAAUUUGCAAUUUAUAUUUGCAAUUAAAAAAAAAUGCAGAAGCGUAGAAUAUAUUUUUUUAUGGAUAGAUUCAUUUUGUUUUUAAAUUUAAAUCACAGAUGCGUAGAAAAAAAUUUUCCAAAAGUGUAUUUUUAUCCCCUCCUCUUACUUACUAUUGUAAAUAAAAAAAAAGUAAAUAAUAAGUAAUUUUUUUAAUAAUGGUUCACGCAUUUAUUUUUAUAUAUCAAAUUAAAGUGGAAAUUAAAAUCAAUAAAAGUAUUUUUUUUUUUUUUUUGAUAAUGAUAAUUAAUUUUCAUGAAAAGAAAAUUCUAUACAAAAAAUUAUCUACUGCAUUACAGAAAUAUUGGAAAAAAAAGAAAAUUAUUAGUAAUAAUAAAAAAAUAUGUUUUUUUUCUACAGGCUUCGAAUCGACUUUGACAAGAAAAGGCGUUUUACAAUCCCAGGCCUCGGAUCAACUUUAAGCAGAUUAACGAUUGGCCUUCACCUGAUUUUUGAACGCGCAACACACGCGCUCCUGACCCUAAAAAUCAAGAUUCACUUGCCAACUACUAAAAUAGAUGCUUUGAGAUUUCAAUAAAGAGAAAACAUUUCACGAAUGAUUUAACAAGAAAAAAAAAUGAAGACGACAACAGAAUUUACUGACCUUGUCCUUGCAAUCAACAUGAACGCGUCCAGAGUCAAGAAGAAGCUGAAGACGUUUUGCGUCGCCUCGAGCUGCUGCUAAAUGUAGCUCCACGUCCCACGGUGACUCUUUCUAUUAUAGAAAAAUUUUUUUAAGAUGAUUUGAACAGUUACUUUUAGAAAAAGGAUGUCGUCAACAAUAGAAAGAAGAAAAAAAUUGUUGAAAAAAAAAAAUAAUUACCUUCAUAGACAUGUCAAGGAAAAAUGCAAUAUCCAAUGUUCUUCUUGUUCUAUAGAACUUGUGUAUUUUUUUUUCUCAUUUACUAUUGAGAAUAAUUGAAACAUUAUAAGUGCAAUUCCAUCAUUUUUGCAUACGUGUCUGGGAUGUUCGAUUUACCGCCCGAACAUUAUAUAGUUAUAUACUCAACAUUGAAACCAUUUUCAGUAUCGAAUUUAUUUAUUUGCAUUUGAAAAAAUAAAUUUCUCCCACGCUGUAACCAUUGGAAAAAAAAGAGAGAGA